UAACGCGUGAGGAACCUGCCUCAAAGAGGGGGACAACAGUUGGAAACGACUGCUAAUACCGCAUAAGCCCACAGCUCGGCAUCGAGCAGAGGGAAAAGGAGUGAUCCGCUUUGAGAUGGCCUCGCGUCCGAUUAGCUAGUUGGUGAGGUAAUGGCCCACCAAGGCGACGAUCGGUAGCCGGACUGAGAGGUUGAACGGCCGCAUUGGGACUGAGACACGGCCCAG
rnacentral:rRNA from 1 species